AAUAUUCGACAAUGGGCGAAAGCCUGAUCCAGCCAUGCCGCGUGUGUGAAGAAGGUCUNCGGAUUNUNACGCACUUUAAGUUGGGNGGAAGGGGCUGAAGCUAAUCCCUUCAAUCUUUGACGUUACCAACAGAAUAAGCACCGGCUAUCUCUGUUCCAGCCGCCUCGGUAAUACAGAGGGUGCAAGCGGAAAUCGGAAUUACUGGGUGUCACACGCGCGUUGGAGGUUCAGUAAGAUGGAAGAGAAAGCCCCGGGGUUAGCCUGGGAGUUGCUUUCAAAACAGACGAGCUAGAGUAAGGUAGUGGGUGGUGGCAUUUCCUGUGUAGCGGUAAAAUGCGUAGAUAUAGGUAGGAACAUCAGUGGCGAAGGCGACUACCUGGACUGAUACUGAUACUGAGGUGCGAAAGCGUGGGGAGCAAACAGG
rnacentral:rRNA from 1 species